GGCCCAGGUGGCUGCUAUCAGCCACAGGCAGGCCUGUGGGUUCCUGACCAGCGUGUAGUGCAGUGGGUUAAAGAGGGCCAUGUAGCAGUCACAGGCCAUGACAGCCGGCAGAAUGGCCUUCCUGCUGCCCAGGAAGUGGAAGAAAUGGAACUGGGUGAGGCAGCUCAUAAAGGAGAUGGCCUGGUGCCCCAAGAGGAAGCCGGCCAGCAUCUUAGAAUAGAAGAGAGAAACAAGCUCCUAUUGAAUGAACUUCUGGAUGGUGUGCUGAAUCUGUGGAACAAAUGAACCUUUUUAUCAUAUUCACAGUCUAAAUCACAGGGGAGAACCAAUUUCCAUUCUCUAGAUGGCUCCUCUGGGGCAGAAUCUCUGAACCACAUGAGGGUCACUGGUAUGUGCAUAACAAGGCAAGAGUUCCCUACAGAGAACAAAGUCAAGCAGGCAGGAGCUGCUGGGAAAAUAAAUAAAGCAAAAAUCCUAAGGGAGUUAGGCACUCAACUUCCAUUCAAUAUAUUUGAAUAGCCCAGCCUAAACAAAUAAAACCCUGGUUAGCAAA